CUGGUGGGAGGGGGUGGCCUGGCGGUUUGGGGUGGGUGGGUGGCUGAGGUCGUCUGGCCGGUAGCUGGGGGUCGCCUUCCCCCGCGGGAAGUCGGGAGCAUAGCGUUUGUUACGCUGCAAGGGAAAGAGGUGGUUAGAGGCAGGCGAGAGUGCGGCCCGCCCUGCGGCAACCGGAGGGGGAGGGAGAAGGGAGCGGAAAAGGCUCGAAUCCGGACGGAGCCAUUGCUCCCUCAGAGGGAGGGGCGCUUCCGGCUCUUCUGUCACUGAUUGGUUGCCGCUCCUCCCGCCGUGUGUGAAAACACAAAUGGCGUGUUUUGGUUGGAGCAAAGCGCCUGUCAGUUACAGCCUCGGGAGUGCGCAGCCGCCUAGAGACUCUCGCAUUGCUCCCUGGGGGGUAGGUAGGUGGGGUGCGGAGAGAGCUGGACUGGCGGGCGCGGUCGGCCUCCCGCGGGGGGGAGGAGAGGGUCAGUGAAAGUGGCUCCGUGCGGACGUCCUGCCACCCUCCCCUUCCUUGGGGGGAGUCGGUUUACCCGCCGCCUGCUUGGCUUCGGCAUCUGAUUGGCUGCUGAAGCCCCGGCAACGGCCCCUUGUUAUUGGCUCGGGUCCCAAAUGAGCGAAACCACUGCGCGGGUCGGCGGGGAGGCGGUCGUUGGUACGGUCCUCCCCAAGGCCUAGCGCCGCAGUGUCUGGCCCCGCGCCCCUGCGCAACGUGGCAGGAAGCGCGCGCUGGAGGCGGGGGCGGGCUGCCGGGCCGAGGCUUCUGGGUGGCGGCGACUGCGGCUCCGCCCUGGGCGCCCGCCGCCUGAAGGACAAGACUAGCCAGACGUGCUCCCGGACCCGUGGGGGUGGAGGAAGGAGCGGGGGUCCUUCUGCUGGUUUGUGGGUGGGAGGCGCAUGUUCUCCAAAAAUCGGCGCGAGCUGCAAUCCAGAAGGAGCUGCAGAGGAGGGGGCGGAGAGAAGGCCGCACCCUGCUCGGCAGGGGGAGGGGAGUGCCGCAAUACCUUUAUGGGAGUUCUCGGCUGCCUCCUGUCUCCUAAGGACCGCCCUGGGCCUAGAAAAAUCCCUCCCUCCCCCGCGAUCUCGUCAUCGCCUCCAUGUCGAGUCGCUCCUUCUCGAUUAUGGGCGGGAUUCUUUUGCCCAGGCUUAACCUGAUUCCUGGGCGUUGUCCUGCAGGGGACUGAGCAGGUGUAAGAUUAUGAGGACGAGCCCAGUUUCUCUACCCACAGACUUGAGUUUGUGUCGCAAAGUAAUUAUAAUAGGGGUGGAAGGGGGAAAUGGACUCCAGGCAACACCUGGGGCUGAUUUUAUGCAGCGAGACUGCGUGUUAUUACUUUUUAAGAUAUUUUUGUCGCAUUUUUCCUGGAGAUUAAGGGAGAUAGAUUAAAGACAUGAUCUCCUGAGUUUUAAACUUUACCCAUUUGAGGCCCUUGCUACACCACCAAAAUACAGCAUCUUAGAUUUAAAUCUUAAUCUUAAAAUUUUAGUCCCCACCCUUGCAUCCCCAGGGUCAGUCAUUUUAACAACUAUCCCUCAUGCUUUCAGCCCAUUUUCUAUUUGUUUUACUUGCUCAUUUAGUCCCAGACAUACCAUUGGCUUUCUUCUCUCCUGUUUUUGGUAGCCCGGUAAGUCAUGAAACCACACAGGCUACCCAACUUGAGCAUAGGCCUCACGGUUGCCCAGCAAUGCGUUUAUUCCUCCCUUAUGGAUAUUCUUGAAUCUUCACCUUAAUUUUCAUUUUGUCCUUUUCCCUCAGCUGGGAUUCUACUCCUGACCCUCUUCUCAGUCCAGAUGAUUUUGACUACUGCUUUCCUGAGAAUUGGACGUGAGGUUUAGCAACAUCUCUCUUUUAUGUCCUUUGAAUACCUUUCAGUCCAUCUCCAGUGCUGUUCUCAUCAGUAACUGAGCUCAGUUGCCAUAAUGCUAGUAGCCUCUGAACUAGUGUCUCCAUCUCCGGUAUCUGCUGAUACAACUUUUGUGUGCCCAGGACAGUUGUCCCAACAUAAAGAUAGAGCAUGAAAAUAGCUGAUCCAACUCCUUUAUUGGCUCCCUAACUACUGACAGGAUGAAUUCCAUCGAUGCAAAUGUGAUAUGCGAGGUUCCUCAAUGGACUGAUCUCACCUUAACAGCUUUUUCCUUUGCCACAGUUUUCCGCAUAUACACAAAAACAUUACUUCUCAAGUCACACUGAAUUGAUUGCUGUUUACGCAAAUCACAGUGAGAUUAUCAGACCUCUUUGUAGGGUGGUUCCUCCUGGAAUGCUACCCUUGAUAAUCCUUACCCUUCCAGUAAAGACUGUUAAAACUCAAAUAUCAUCUCGCCUUCUGUGAUCUGCCGUCCUUUAAGCCAGACUCGCCUAUAAAAAAGUUAGUGUUGCUUUUUCUUGGUCCCAUAGCGGGUUGAAUCAUAGCACUUCUCAGGUUGUUGUUGUUGCUUGUUUAAAUUCUCUUAACUAUUCGGAGCUUCUUGAGGGCACAGGCUCUUGCUGAGUCUUGUACCUAAGCUCCUAGUAUAUUCCUUGAUGGCUAGCCAACCCUAAAUAAAAGAUGUCCUUAUAAGGUUUGAUAGAUGGGUCUCUCAAACACUUCUUUGUGUGCUUGCUAGUGCUCUAGAUUAGCACUGUCCACUAGAACCUUCUGCAGUGAUGGAAAUACCCCAUAGUUGUGCUGUCCAAUAUGUUGGCCACUAACCACACAUUACUAUUGAGCCCUGGAAAUGUGGCUCUUAUGACUAAGGAAGUCAGUUUUUAAUUUUAUGUAAUUUAAGUUUAAAUUGCCACUGUGGAGGUGUGGCUGUAGCCACAAACUUGUGUUGUAGAUUGCAGAAUACUUAAUAUGGACAUUGAUAAUUUUGUCUUCAUACUGAGCAGUAAGGAAAUAAAAGUUGAACCUUUCUGGCCCAUUUAGGUGUGAGCCACCCCCCUCCCCGCCCACCAAGUUGGUUGGUUGGUUGGUUUUAAUACUUAUUUGUAUACUUUAGCUGACAGCUGAAUCCAGCAAACCAUUACUAAAGAUAAACCUGCCUUGGACAAUGGUGUGUUGAGAAAGCAACUGUUGAUUCAUUUGAGUUUCAAGAAUGCAUAAGGGAUUUUAGGAAAGUGGGAUUUCAUUAAAUCAUAACGGUGACAGAAGUUUGAUGAGGAAUAGGACUAUAUCUGAUGUUAGUGAAACUAGCCCUGAAUUUCAGUUCUACAAAAUUUUUAAUUUUGGAAAACCUUCAUCAGAGGAGGCCCUAAGUAUCGUAUCUUAAGUUACAGGAAAUCAUCACUAAGUUUUCAUUCUGAUGAAGUAUAAGUUAAUAGAUAUGUUUUAACACCAAAAUGCUUUUUGGUUUAUAUGUUAAUAUAGAUAGCAUCUUGUAAAUUUCAAUUUUUAUAUAUAUAUAUUUUUUUAAUAUUUUAUUUAUUUAUUUAUUUAUUUUUGGCUCUGUUGGGUCUUCGCCUCUGUGCGAGGGCUUUCUCCAGUUGUGGCAAGUGGGGGCCACUCUUCAUCGCGGUGCGCGGGCCUCUCACCAUCGCGGCCUCUCUUGUUGCGGAGCACAGGCUCCAGACACGCAGGCUCAGUAGUUGUGGCUCACGGGCCUAGUUGCUCCGCGGCAUGUGGGAUCCUCCCAGACCAGGGCUCGAACCCGUGUCCCCUGCAUUAGCAGGCAGACUCCCAACCACUGCGCCACCAGGGAAGCCCCCAAUUUUUUAUAUUUAAAAGAUAAGUUUUUUAACUUAAAAUUUCUUAAGAUUUCUCCUUAAAAUAUGAGAAGUGCACAUAAUUGGCUUGCUAUUUAAUGCAGAUUCCCAGUCCCACACCCGGAGAUUCUGAAUUCAGUUAAGACUGGUGGGGGUCACUAGAAUUCUGUGUCUUUUAUAUGCUUCUGAUGUUGGUGGUCCAGAAAUCACACUGCAAAUACAGCCCCAAGGAGCUACAGUAUGCCUAUCUUACAAAAAUGAUUACAACUUCAGGGAAACUGUAUGUCCCCUUUACUUGGUAAUUUUUUCCUCCAGAAAAACUGAAUAAAUGGGGAAACAUUUUGAAAGGCAAAAAAAAGAGUUAUAUUUAAUAGUUUGGGAAACUUAUAGGUCAGACUGCUUUGUUGUUAAAAGGAAUGUUAAACUAUUCCAAGUAAUCUUUUUUUUUACUUUUUUACCAAGAAAGUUCCCUUUUUUGUCUUGUUUUCCCACUAAAUGCAUUCCUCAAUGAUAUGGAUUUGUUCUUGAUUCCCUGGUGCCUGAACACAGAGCUGGGUACUCAAUAAAUGUUGAUUUUAUUGAUUUAUAUGUGAAAUUUGUUUUCAAGUAAUAGUUUAAAUCCACAGAAGCAAUGCUCCUUUUAUGGAGAAACUUUAGGAUCAUACUUAACCCAAGUCACCUAAUAUUCUAUUCAUAAAGGAAACUGAUGCCUCAUGGUCUCUGAAUACAUUUGUCUGCCAUUCAGCUCUUCCUUGGGUUUCCUGUGCAAACCCUUGCACUUAUCCUCUUCCUGUGCUUGACUUCCUUAGGCUUUAUUACAAUUUUUAAACAAACCAGCUACUUACCUCCCUCUGAAGUAGAGCCAUAUUAUUUCUUACACUCCUAGGACAGAAAUUAAGUAGAGUGAAAACUUGUACUUGCAUGAGAGAGUUGAAGGUUUUGUAAGGGAUUUUAUAAUCUUUUUUUUUUUUUUUUUAAGAUUUACAAAAUUUGAACUACAUAAUGUUUCAUUUUUUAUGCACGGAAGAGGUUUGGUAUAAUUAUGGUUUGCAACUGUUAAUCCAGAAUAUGAUACGGAUCAACAUCACAAGGGUUGCUCCUUGAGGGCAUGACAUUGCUUGUUUAUGGCUAUAUCCCUACUGUGUAAGCAUACAGAGGUCUUCAAGGUCAAAACUGUUCUCAUAAUACAGUAAGUCCCCUACAUACUAACCUUCAAGUUGCGAACUUUCAAAGAUGCGAACAUGUGUUUGCACGUCCAGUCGUGUAAGUUAGUUCACGUGUCUGGCGUACAUUGUCAUGUGCCUGCAUCCUCUACAAGUGGUUGUGCUUUUUUGUACUUUAUAGAGUACAGUAGUAUAGUAUCUUUAUUUCAAGCCCAGCAUGUCCAAAAGCGCUGUAGCUGGUACUGCUCAGAAGCCCCAGGUGAUAAUGAUGGAAACAAAAGUGAAAAUAAUUGAGAGGGUGGAGUGAGGCGAAAAGAUGGUAGACGUUGCUCAUUCUUAUAACAUGAAUCGUUCAACCAUCAGCAUGAUUCUAAAGAACAAGAACAAGGACAAGAUCAUGGAACAGGUGAAGUCUGCUGUGCCGAUGAUGGCGACAAUAACGUUGAAGAAGCGGGAAAAGUCAUGGAGAUGGAGAAACUUCUCAGUGCGUGGAUUCAGGAUCAGCAUCAGCAUCGAGUCCCCCUCAGCGUAAUGCUGAUGCAAGAAAAGCUAAAAGCCUUUAUGAAGACUUGAAGAAGAAACAUGGCGAAGAACCAGACGGUGCAUCUUUUAAUGUCAGCCAUGGCUGGUUUCAUCAGUUCAAGGCUAGAGCCAGCCUUCACAACGUAAAAGUAAGUGGUGAGGUCAAAAAAAAAAAAAAAAAGUAAGUGGUGAGGCAGCGAGUGCCCAUAUGGUAGCUGCCCGGGAUAAGGAGUCCAAAGAGGUUUUUAGCAACUUAGUGACCCUCAGAGAGAAGCUGGAGCUAGAUCUGCAAGAGGACGACUUCAUUGAACUCCUUGCUGUGCAACACGAGGAGCUUACUAACGAAGACCAAUGGAAUUGGAGGCCCAGAGAAAGGACGAAGAGAGACAAGAGGCGGAAGAAGUAACCGAAGAGAUUCACAAUACAGGAAAUGGCAAGGGGAUUUUCUUUAUUCAAAGAGGCACUGUUAGUUUUUGAGGCGCAGGAUCUGAAUGUAGAACAGUACAUGAAGGUUGCAGCAGCUGUUCAGGAUGCAAUCCAGUGCUACCGUGUCAUCUACGAUGAGAAGAAAAGAGCUACUGCCCAGACAUCACUGGAUUGUUUUUUCAAGAGGGUAGAUAGAAUUGAAUCCAGCAAGGAACCAGAACCUGUGCCAUCAAUGUCAGGUGUGAGUGAAACUGCAGCUUUGACCUCCGUCUCCUACUGCUGAUGAUCCUUCAGUUCUACCAUCUCCCACCUCCUCUCCCUCCUCCAGUCAGUAACUCUUGCCUGUUCACUCGAUGCCAGGCCUUGUAUGCCAGCUGUUGUACUGUACUACUGUACUUUUUAAGGUACUGUACUGUAAGAUUAAAAAUGUUUUAUA